rnacentral:tRNA from 1 species
CAGUGAAUAGUUUAAGUAAAAUAUUAAUUUUGGAGAUUAAUGAUAUAAAGUUUAUUUCGCUGA